AGACCUCCGCCACUACCGUUAAAGUAACUGAGAAGUCAUCGCGGCGGACGACUUCAAGAAGGGGACAGAUUUCCAAGGGCAACGAGACGUUCCCGCCGGGCGUGAAGUAUGACAUCAACGCCAUCAUAGCCAUCAUCGCCAACCUCACCUACGACUACGAGUGGAACCUCACCGAGGAGUUCAAUAGGACACUCAUUGAGUAAGUCAUUGUAAACACACUGUUCACUCCUAUGUAUGUAUGACAUCAUCGCCAACCUCACCUACGACUACGAGUGGAACCUCACCGAGGAGUUCAAUAGGACACUCAUUGAGUAAGUCAUUGUAAACACACUGUUCACUCCUAUGUAUGUAUGACAUCAUCGCCAACCUCACCUACGACUACGAGUGGAACCUCACCGAGGAGUUCAAUAGGACACUCAUUGAGUAAGUCAUUGUAAACACACUGUUCACUCCUAUGUAUGUAUGACAUCAUCGCCAACCUCACCUACGACUACGAGUGGAACCUCACCGAGGAGUUCAAUAGGACACUCAUUGAGUAAGUCAUUGUAAACACACUGUUCACUCCUAUGUAUGUAUGACAUCAUCGCCAACCUCACCUACGACUACGAGUGGAACCUCACCGAGGAGUUCAAUAGGACACUCAUUGAGUAAGUCAUUGUAAACACACUGUUCACUCCUAUGUAUGUAUGACAUCAUCGCCAACCUCACCUACGACUACGAGUGGAACCUCACCGAGGAGUUCAAUAGGACACUCAUUGAGUAAGUCAUUGUAAACACACUGUUCACUCCUAUGUAUGUAUGACAUCAUCGCCAACCUCACCUACGACUACGAGUGGAACCUCACCGAGGAGUUCAAUAGGACACUCAUUGAGUAAGUCAUUGUAAACACACUGUUCACUCCUAUGUAUGUAUGACAUCAUCGCCAACCUCACCUACGACUACGAGUGGAACCUCACCGAGGAGUUCAAUAGGACACUCAUUGAACACGGCGUGCCGACGUGCCCGACGGCGAGCACGCUCAGCACGACGCCCACCACGCCGGCAGCCUACGACUUCUCUAACACAUCCAUAGUCGGCAAGGUAUGUCACACCAUCA